ensembl:lincRNA Gm43851 predicted gene 43851
GCCACAUCUGUUCCUGCCUCGAUACCCCAGUCCAACAUGACUUAUCACCCUGACUGACCUGCCACGGUGGGGGCUCAGCAGGAAAGGGGAUGUUUCCUAUCCUGCACAAGCAGAGCCAUCUUCACUCGAGGCUGGGAUUUCACCUGUCAGUGCCCACCUGAGGCCCCACAAGUGAAGCUGGCAGGUCAUUCGGCAGGGCCAAGUGUGAGUUUCGGUGAAAAACAACAACAAUGACAACAACAAAACCCAACAUCCAGUUGCCUGUUUUUCUAUAACGUGUUACUUUAUCUCACUUCAUAUCCUCUGUUAACACGUUGUAUUACAUUG